UACGGAGGGUGCAAACGUUGCUCAGAAUCAUUGGGCGUAAAGCACACGUAGGCGGUUCGGUAAGUCGGAUGUGAAAUCCCUCGGCUUAACCGAGGAAGUGCAUCCGAAACUGCCGAGCUUGAGUACGGAAGAGGGUCUCGGAAUUCCCGGUGUAGAGGUGAAAUUCGUAGAUAUCGGGAGGAACACCAGUGGCGAAGGCGGAGACCUGGGCCGAUACUGACGCUGAGGCACGAAAGCGUGGGGAGCAAACAGG
rnacentral:rRNA from 1 species